rnacentral:lncRNA from 1 species
GGCAGGCAACAGCACCACUACUCCAUGCCCACACGAUAACAACAAGUCCUCUCCUCCACCGUCUUGAUCGCUUGCAGUUUCGAUCGUGCUCUUAUCUUACGACGAGUUGUAUGGCUAGAUCGACCGGUUGAUCGAUCCAAGGAAUAACAGGUGUGUCCGUGUGAUCCCUCCCUCUUCAUCUGACAUCUGCAUUAGCUUCCUCCGAAAUGACGAUGUCGAUCGAAGAAUAAAUAUGCUCCCGCUGUCACCGAAAGUUCAAUCAUAAGUCAUAACUAAUGUCUUGCACUUGUACGUACAUUGAGAGGGAGUAGGUCCAUGAUGGCUGAGCCGAUUGGUGACGGAUCAUGGGCUAGAUCACCCAUCGCCCACGAUUAGUUGCGCUUCUGCUGAUUUGUUCUGUUUCUUCAACUAGGGCGGAAGGAGCUUUUUCAUCAUGUCGAUGAAGGUACUACACUGCUGUCAUGCCUUUCUUAGCUUGCUUUUAUGUGUAGACUAGUUAAUUGUGCGUUGUAAUGGUGGAAAAUAAGUUCUAGUGGAUGAACAAUAAUCGUGUCUAAAAUAUAACUUUAAGAUCAUCGUGUAUAUUACCUGACAUUGUGGACUUUAUUUACGCUAGAUCACUUUUCUUCUUCAUUCUCGCCAUAUACCUCCCCCCCCCCUC